rnacentral:rRNA from 1 species
UGGGGAAUAUUGCACAAUGGGCGAAAGCCUGAUGCAGCAACGCCGCGUGAGUGAUGAAGGCCUUCGGGUUGUAAAGCUCUGUCUUCUGGGACGAUAAUGACGGUACCAGAGGAGGAAGCCACGGCUAACUACGUGCCAGCAGCCGCGGUAAUACGUAGGUGGCAAGCGUUGUCCGGAUUUACUGGGCGUAAAGGAUGCGUAGGCGGAUACUUAAGUCAGAUGUGAAAAUCCCGGGCUUAACUUGGGAACUGCAUUUGAAACUGGGUAUCUAGAGUGCGGGAGAGGAUAGUGGAAUUCCUAGUGUAGCGGUGAAAUGCGUAGAGAUUAGGAAGAACACCAGUGGCGAAGGCGACUUUCUGGACCGUAACUGACGCUGAGGCAUGAAAGCGUGGGGAGCAAACA